rnacentral:lncRNA from 1 species
GUGGCCAUUUUUUAAAUAGCGCCUUACGAAUAAAUUCUGACAGCAAAAAAAUAAAAUUACCAGGAAAGGUUCCUAGGGUCAUCGUCAAUCUUGGCAUGCGUCCGUACAUUUUUAUAAAAAAUAAUCUCAUCUGAAACUACUUGAAACCAAAUUUAGUCACACUCAUCAAAGAGGCAUUUAGUUUAUGAAUAGAACUUAAGUG